rnacentral:pre_miRNA from 1 species
AUGGGUCAAUGCACGGUCCUGGUCGGUCGGUCAAUCGGUCGGUCGGUCGGUCAAUCGGUCGGUCGGUCGGUCAGUCGUGCCUG